rnacentral:rRNA from 1 species
CUUUCAACAACGGAUCUCUUGGUUCUGGCAUCGAUGAAGAACGCAGCGAAAUGCGAUAAGUAA